GAAAAACAGCACUUUAGGCUGAACUGCAGUUGUUUUUAAACGUGCUGACUGCUGAACAGGAAAGGGUCGCAAAAGGGUAACAUGCAACUUUACAACUUUAGAAAUAAAAUGAGAAGACAGAAAGGAUUUAAAAAUAACUGCAAGACGGCACAAAGUACAAAAUCCAACACAAAUCAAACCAACCACUCCAACAUGUUGUAGGCAUCAAUUCCAAAUUUUACAUUCAGUGAUCAUUUUUUCAUCUCACCAGUUUCUGUUUUUUUUCACAGCUGCAGAUUCCAAAACAGUGACGUGGGACUCAUUGGAGGAUUCUCAUGAAACUGAAAGGAAUCGUGUCUCCACAUCUGGAUUGUUUUAAACGGGGCAUAACACCGCCCUCUCCUCCACUCUUCCCAGCCUGAGAACAGCUUCCCUCCCUGCUCACAGCAACAACUAUUUCCGCUGGAUUUACUGGAAGGAG
ensembl:lncRNA